UGCGGGGUGGAGCAGUGGUAGCUCGUUGGGCUCAUAACCCAAAGGUCACAGGUUCGAGUCCUGUCCCCGCUA
rnacentral:tRNA from 1 species